AUGGUACCUAAAAUUACUGAUUUUGGUCUAUCGAGGUGUUUCGAGGAAGGGCAAACAAGUGCUUUUACUGAACAAAUAUUUCUAUCACGAGGAUGUUUUGCUCCAGAACUCCUGACAAGACAACUCACAUUCAAGUUAGACAUAUUUAGUCUAAGCGUUAUAAUCAUAGAGAUACUAACAGGAGAGAAUAGCUAUUCCGAAGAUGAGAAGGUAGUAGGCAGGUUGGAUGACUCAGGUAGUUUCAAGUUGGAUGGAUCGACUGCAGGCAUUAGAGGGAGAUACAAGGGUGGAACAAGUAAGAGUAUGCACUAA
rnacentral:rRNA from 1 species